rnacentral:tRNA from 1 species
GGAGGGUUAGCUCAAUUGGUUAGAGCACUGGCUUGUCACGCCAGAGGUUGCGAGUUCGAGUCUCGUAUUCUCCGCCA